rnacentral:rRNA from 1 species
UCAAGUAAGUAAGGGCGUACGGCGGAUGCCUUGGCCAUAUCAGCCGAAGAAGGACGCGAUAAGCUGCGAUAAGCUGCGGUGAGGUGCAAGUAACCUUUGACCCGCAGAUCUCCGAAUGGGGAAACCCGGCAGCAGUAGUGCUGUCAUCCUCUAUGAGGAAGGGCACCCGGUGAACUGAAACAUCUAAGUAGCCGGAGGAAAAGGAAUCAACAGAGAUACCCCUAGUAGCGGCGAGCGAACGGGGCAGAGCCCAAACCGGAAUGGGAAACCAAUCCGGGGUUGUGGACUGCUAUCAAAUGCAUGAGUGAAGCAGAAUGAGCUGGGAAGCUCAGCCAGAGAGAGUGAGAGCCUCGUAGGCGUAAGCAAGUGCAUGGAGCAGGAUCCGGAGUACCACGGGACACGAGAAACCCUGUGGGAAGCUGGGGGGACCACCCUCCAAGGCGAAACACUGAUAUGGACCGAUAGCGCAUAGUACCGUGAGGGAAAGGUGAAAAGAACCCCGGGAGGGGAAUGAAAGAGAACCUGAAACCGUAUGUCUACAAGCAGUCGAAGACCUUUAUAUGGUCGACGGCGUGCCUAUUGAAGAAUGAACCGGCGAGUUACUUCAGCUAGCGAGGUUAAGCAGAAAAUGCGGAGCCGCAGCGAAAGCGAGUCUGAACAGGGCGUAUAGUUAGUUGGAGUAGACCCGAAACCACAGUGAUCUACCCAUGUCCAGGUUGAAGCACAGGUAAAAAUGUGUGGAGGACCGAACCAGUGAGCGUUGAAAAGCUUUUGGAUGAGAUGUGGGUAGGGGUGAAAUGCCAAUCGAACGUGGAGAUAGCUGGUUCUCCCCGAAAUAGCUUUAGGGCUAGCCUCAUGGCGAGAGUACAGGCGGUAGAGCACUGAACGGGGUAGGGGCCUAUCCGGCUACUGAACCUAAUCAAACUGCGAAUGGCUGUACUUAUCCAUGGGAGUCAGACUGUGAGUAAUAAGGCCCAUAGUCAAGAGGGAAACAGCCCAGACCAACAGCUAAGGUCCCCAAUGCCGUACUAAGUGGCGAAGGAUGUGGAAUUUCGAAAACAACCAGGAUGUUGGCUCAGAAGCAGCCACCAUUAAAAGAGUGCGUAAUAGCUCACUGGUCGAGAGACUCUGCGCCGAAGAUGUCCGGGGCUAAAGUACGGAACCGAAGCUUUGGCAAUUGACGUAAGUCAAUUGGGUAGGGGAGCGUUCCUGCAUGGGAGAAGCCUGACCGGAAGGACAGGUGGACAGGCAGGAAGAGAGAAUGCCGGUAUGAGUAGCGAAAAGAAGGGUGAGAAUCCCUUCCACCGAAAGCCUAAGGGUUCCUGGGCAACGAUCGUCGUCCCAGGGUAAGUCGGGACCUAAUCCGAGGCGGAGACGCGUAGGAGAUGGACAACAGGUUGAAAUUCCUGUACUGGCUGAGGCCGUUUGAGCGAAGGAGUGACACAGGAAGGAAGGCGCGCGUGCGAUUGGAAGAGCACGUCCAAGCAGGUAGGUCGGGAGACAGGCAAAUCCGUUUCCCAGAAGGCCGAGAUGCGAUGGGGAGCUUCUGGAGACAGAAGCGAAGGGGCUGGCACUAAACUGUCGAGAAAAGCUUCUAGUGAGGACUCAGGCACCCGUACCGAAACCGACACAGGUAGGCAGGAUGAGAAUUCUAAGGUGCGCGGGAAAACCCUCGUUAAGGAACUCGGCAAAAUAUAUCCGUAACUUCGGGAAAAGGAUAACCCAGCGUACGUGAAGUGCAGAAGCGCAUGGAGCGGAGAUGGGUGGCAGAAGAGAGGCCCAAGCGACUGUUUACCACAAACACAGGCGUCUGCUAAAGCGAAAGCUGAUGUAUAGAUGCUGACACCUGCCCGGUGCUGGAAGGUUAAGAGGAAGUGUUAGCGCAAGCGAAGCAGUGAAUUGAAGCCCCAGUAAACGGCGGCCGUAACUAUAACGGUCCUAAGGUAGCGAAAUUCCUUGUCGGGUAAG